CCGCUGGGACCUGUUCCGGGGAGAUGAAGUGGAUGUGGGUGUCGAUGCCGCCGGCGGUGAGGAUCUUUCGUUCGCCGGCGAUGAUCUCUGUGCUGGCACCGAUCACGAUGUCCACGCCAUCAGUUAUUUGCGGGUUUCCAGCCUUGCCGAUCUUGAAGAUAUGCCCGUCCUUCAGGGCAAUAUCGGCUUUGUAGAUGCCGGUGUAGUCCAGCACGAUGACGUUGGUGAUGACGGUGUCCGGAAUGUCCUCGGCGCGGGUGAGCUGACCGUUCUGGCCCAUGCCGUCGCGG
rnacentral:sRNA from 1 species